UACAGAGGUCUCAAGCGUUGUUCGGAUUCAUUGGGCGUAAAGGGCGCGUAGGCGGCGGGGUAAGUCUGGUGUGAAAUCUAGGAGCUCAACUCCUAAACUGCACUGGAUACUGCUCUGCUAGAGGACUGGAGAGGAGACUGGAAUUCACGGUGUAGCAGUGAAAUGCGUGGAUAUCGUGAGGAAGACCAGUGGCGAAGGCGGGUCUCUGGACAGUUCCUGACGCUGAGGCGCGAAGGCCAGGGGAGCAAACGGG
rnacentral:rRNA from 1 species